rnacentral:rRNA from 1 species
GGUAAUGAUGGCAGAGAGGUCACACCCGUUCCCAUACCGAACACGGAAGUUAAGCUCUCUAUCGCCGAUGGUAGUUGGGACCUUGUCCCUGUGAGAGUAGGACGUUGCCAGGC